AUGGCAGAGUGCUUCAAUAAGGUGCCCAAGAGUGUACGUGCAUUACUCGCGACGGCAAUAGUUCAAUACACAUUUGACAAGAUAAAUGAAUAUUUUAAGUACUCAAUGGAGACGGAUAAGCAGAUUGCUGGUGAGAACAAGGAAAAGUACAAUUUCCCACCAAAGGUUGAAAAAUGGUUGAAAUUUCAAUCACAAAAGGCAGACUCACAAGAAGCUGUACUAUAUCACGACAACGAUUGGAAGUAUGAAGUGAAAGAGCCUGGAGGAACCACAAACGAUGGCCACCAACACGGAGGCCGGGCUUUCAAGGUCUCCCUAACACAGUGUGAUUGCAUUUGCAUGAGGCCAUCCUUGCUUCAUCUCCCAUGCUCGCACUUGUUAAAUGCAUCUCGUGUUAGGAAUGUAGACGUCAAUCACCCUCUUACCGUGCGGGAGUCCGAGUUCUCAAUCAUGACUGUCAAGAAUACAUGGGCUCCCCGGUUUCAGCCAUACUUGGACCAAUCACAAUGGCCGAGUAUCAUGGAGUUCAACUAUGGCCGAACCCAGAAUUGA
rnacentral:rRNA from 1 species